CAGGCUUAACACAUGCAAGUCGAGGGGCAGCAUUUUAGUUUGCUUGCAAACUGAAGAUGGCGACCGGCGCACGGGUGAGUAACACGUAUCCAACCUGCCGAUAACUCCGGAAUAGCCUUUCGAAAGAAAGAUUAAUACCGGAUAGCAUACGAAUAUCGCAUGAUAUUUUUAUUAAAGAAUUUCGGUUAUCGAUGGGGAUGCGUUCCAUUAGUUUGUUGGCGGGGUAACGGCCCACCAAGACAACGAUGGAUAGGGGUUCUGAGAGGAAGGUCCCCCACAUUGGAACUGAGACACGGUCCAAACUCCUACGGGAGGCAGCAGUGAGGAAUAUUGGUCAAUGGGCGAGAGCCUGAACCAGCCAAGUAGCGUGAAGGAUGAAGGCUCUAUGGGUCGUAAACUUCUUUUAUAUGGGAAUAAAGUUUUCCACGUGUGGAAUUUUGUAUGUACCAUAUGAAUAAGGAUCGGCUAACUCCGUGCCAGCAGCCGCGGUAAUACGGAGGAUCCGAGCGUUAUCCGGAUUUAUUGGGUUUAAAGGGAGCGUAGGUGGAUUGUUAAGUCAGUUGUGAAAGUUUGCGGCUCAACCGUAAAAUUGCAGUUGAAACUGGCAGUCUUGAGUACAGUAGAGGUGGGCGGAAUUCGUGGUGUAGCGGUGAAAUGCUUAGAUAUCACGAAGAACUCCGAUUGCGAAGGCAGCUCACUAGACUGUCACUGACACUGAUGCUCGAAAGUGUGGGUAUCAAACAGGAUUAGAUACCCUGGUAGUCCACACAGUAAACGAUGAAUACUCGCUGUUUGCGAUAUACAGUAAGCGGCCAAGCGAAAGCAUUAAGUAUUCCACCUGGGGAGUACGCCGGCAACGGUGAAACUCAAAGGAAUUGACGGGGGCCCGCACAAGCGGAGGAACAUGUGGUUUAAUUCGAUGAUACGCGAGGAACCUUACCCGGGCUUAAAUUGCAACAGAAUAUAUUGGAAACAGUAUAGCCGUAAGGCUGUUGUGAAGGUGCUGCAUGGUAGUCGUCAGCUCGUGCCGUGAGGUGUCGGCUUAAGCGCCAUAACGAGCGCAACCCUUAUCUUUAGUUACUAACAGGUGAUGCUGAGGACUCUAGAGAGACUGCCGUCGUAAGAUGUGAGGAAGGUGGGGAUGACGUCAAAUCAGCACGGCCCUUACGUCCGGGGCUACACACGUGUUACAAUGGGGGGUACAGAAGGCGGCUACCUGGUGACAGGAUGCUAAUCCCAAAAACCUCUCUCAGUUCGGAUCGAAGUCUGCAACCCGACUUCGUGAAGCUGGAUUCGCUAGUAAUCGCGCAUCAGCCAUGGCGCGGUGAAUACGUUCCCGGGCCUUGUACACACCGCCCGUCAAGCCAUGAAAGCCGGGGGUACCUGAAGUACGUAACCGCAAGGAGCGUCCUAGGGUAAAACUGGUAAUUGGGGCUAAGUCGUA
rnacentral:rRNA from 1 species